rnacentral:rRNA from 1 species
GGGUUGUGAGGUUAAGCGACUAAGCGUACACGGUGGAUGCCCUGGCAGUCAGAGGCGAUGAAGGGCGUGCUAAUCUGCGAUAAGCGCCGGUAAGGUGAUAUGAACCGUUAUAACCGGCGAUACCCGAAUGGGGAAACCCAGUGUGACUCGUCACACUAUCAUUAACUGAAUCCAUAGGUUAAUGAGGCGAACCGGGGGAACUGAAACAUCUAAGUACCCCGAGGAAAAGAAAUCAACCGAGAUUCCCCCAGUAGCGGCGAGCGAACGGGGAGGAGCCCAGAGCCUGAAUCAGCAUGUGUGUUAGUGGAAGCGUCUGGAAAGGCGCGCGAUACAGGGUGACAGCCCCGUACACAAAAGCGCAUGUGCUGUGAGCUCGAUGAGUAGGGCGGGACACGUGGUAUCCUGUCUGAAUAUGGGGGGACCAUCCUCCAAGGCUAAAUACUCCUGACUGACCGAUAGUGAACCAGUACCGUGAGGGAAAGGCGAAAAGAACCCCGGCGAGGGGAGUGAAAAAGAACCUGAAACCGUGUACGUACAAGCAGUGGGAGCNNNNNNNNNNNNNNNNNNNNNNNNNNNNNNNNNNNNNNNNNNNNNNNNNNNNNNNNNNNNNNNNNNNNNNNNNNNNNNNNNNNGGGCGUUAAGUUGCAGGGUAUAGACCCGAAACCCGGUGAUCUAGCCAUGGGCAGGUUGAAGGUUGGGUAACACUAACUGGAGGACCGAACCGACUAAUGUUGAAAAAUUAGCGGAUGACCUGUGGCUGGGGGUGAAAGGCCAAUCAAACCGGGAGAUAGCUGGUUCUCCCCGAAAGCUAUUUAGGUAGCGCCUCGUGAAUUCAUCUCCGGGGGUAGAGCACUGUUUCGGCUAGGGGGCCAUCCCGGCUUACCAACCCGAUGCAAACUGCGAAUACCGGAGAAUGUUAUCACGGGAGACACACGGCGGGUGCUAACGUCCGUCGUGAAGAGGGAAACAACCCAGACCGCCAGCUAAGGUCCCAAAGUCAUGGUUAAGUGGGAAACGAUGUGGGAAGGCCCAGACAGCCAGGAUGUUGGCUUAGAAGCAGCCAUCAUUUAAAGAAAGCGUAAUAGCUCACUGGUCGAGUCGGCCUGCGCGGAAGAUGUAACGGGGCUAAACCAUGCACCGAAGCUGCGGCAGCGANNNNUGCUGGAGGUAUCAGAAGUGCGAAUGCUGACAUAAGUAACGAUAAAGCGGGUGAAAAGCCCGCUCGCCGGAAGACCAAGGGUUCCUGUCCAACGUUAAUCGGGGCAGGGUGAGUCGACCCCUAAGGCGAGGCCGAAAGGCGUAGUCGAUGGGAAACGGGUUAAUAUUCCCGUACUUGGUGUUACUGCGAAGGGGGGACGGAGAAGGCUAUGUUGGCCGGGCGACGGUUGUCCCGGUUUAAGCGUGUAGGUGUGUGUUCCAGGUAAAUCCGGUUCACUUUAACACUGAGGCGUGANNNNNNNNNNNNNNNNNNGGAGCUGAAGUCAGUCGAAGAUACCAGCUGGCUGCAACUGUUUAUUAAAAACACAGCACUGUGCAAACACGAAAGUGGACGUAUACGGUGUGACGCCUGCCCGGUGCCGGAAGGUUAAUUGAUGGGGUCAGCGCAAGCGAAGCUCCUGAUCGAAGCCCCGGUAAACGGCGGCCGUAACUAUAACGGUCCUAAGGUAGCGAAAUUCCUUGUCGGGUAAGUUCCGACCUGCACGAAUGGCGUAAUGAUGGCCAGGCUGUCUCCACCCGAGACUCAGUGAAAUUGAACUCGCUGUGAAGAUGCAGUGUACCCGCGGCAAGACGGAAAGACCCCGUGAACCUUUACUAUAGCUUGACACUGAACAUUGAGCCUUGAUGUGUAGGAUAGGUGGGAGGCUUUGAAGUGUGGACGCCAGUCUGCAUGGAGCCGACCUUGAAAUACCACCCUUUAAUGUUUGAUGUUCUAACGUGGACCCGUUACCCGGGUUGCGGACAGUGUCUGGUGGGUAGUUUGACUGGGGCGGUCUCCUCCUAAAGAGUAACGGAGGAGCACGAAGGUUGGCUAAUCCUGGUCGGACAUCAGGAGGUUAGUGCAAUGGCAUAAGCCAGCUUGACUGCGAGCGUGACGGCGCGAGCAGGUGCGAAAGCAGGUCAUAGUGAUCCGGUGGUUCUGAAUGGAAGGGCCAUCGCUCAACGGAUAAAAGGUACUCCGGGGAUAACAGGCUGAUACCGCCCAAGAGUUCAUAUCGACGGCGGUGUUUGGCACCUCGAUGUCGGCUCAUCACAUCCUGGGGCUGAAGUAGGUCCCAAGGGUAUGGCUGUUCGCCAUUUAAAGUGGUACGCGAGCUGGGUUUAGAACGUCGUGAGACAGUUCGGUCCCUAUCUGCCGUGGGCGCUGGAGAACUGAGGGGGGCUGCUCCUAGUACGAGAGGACCGGAGUGGACGCAUCACUGGUGUUCGGGUUGUCAUGCCAAUGGCACUGCCCGGUAGCUAAAUGCGGAAGAGAUAAGUGCUGAAAGCAUCUAAGCACGAAACUUGCCCCGAGAUGAGUUCUCCCUGAGACUUAGAGUCUCCUGAAGGAACGUUGAAGACGACGACGUUGAUAGGCCGGGUGUGUAAGCGCAGCGAUGCGUUGAGCUAACCGGUACUAAUGAACCGUGAGGCUUAACCUUACAACGCCGAAG